rfam:Planctomyces sp. SCGC AG-212-M04 AG-212-M04.193, whole genome shotgun sequence.
UCCGGUGACUUUACCCGUAAGGCCACACUCGUUCCCAUUCCGAACACGAUCGUUAAGCUUGCGGGGCCGAUGAUAGUGCCGAAAGGUGUGAAAGUAGGUCAUCGCCGGAG